rnacentral:lncRNA from 1 species
AAAGGGGAGGGGGCUGCGAGGGAGCAAGAAGAGAGCUUGGAGACUGGAAUUUUCCAGGCUCUGAGCUCACGCUGUAUGCUUCCUCUGUGAUAAGUCGCCGAGUAGAAAUGCGGGUCUUUGUCCGCAAUAGCGUGGUCACUCUUCCUUCCUGGGUGAGCCUCUCUCAUAGAGGUGAUGCACGCACAGCAGUCAGCCCGGUGCCAAAUCUCCUAAGAGCCAGGAGCUGGACACCCUUGCCCCAGCCUCCAGUGCCGUCUGCCCAGACAGAAGGAUGGGAAGAGUGUGGACAUGAAGGUUGAGUCUCAGAAAAGGUAGAACCCAGGCCAGGCACGGUGCCUCAC